AUCCACUAUCCUUCUUGAGAUCUUAAAAACAUUCUGAUCUCGGAAGCUAAGCAGGGUCAGGCCUGGUUAGUACUUGGAUGGGAGAUCUUAAAAACAAGUCAGGCAUUAUGGCAA
rnacentral:rRNA from 1 species